rnacentral:rRNA from 1 species
AGCAGCCGCGGUAAUUCCAGCUCCAAUAGCGUAUAUUAAAGUUGUUGCAGUUAAAAGCUCGUAGUUGAAUUUCGGGAUCAAGGAAUCGGUCAUGCCUCGGUAUGUACUGGUUUUAUUGGUUCUCACCUUCUAAAGAACCAUAAUGUCAUUCAUUUGAUGUUAUGGGGAAUUAGGACUGUUACCUUGAAAAAUUAGAGUGUUUAAAGCAGGCUUACGCUUGAAUACAUUAGCAUGGGAUAAUGAAAUAGGACAUCAGAUUCUAUUUUGUUGGUUCUAGGAUCGAUGUAAUGAUUAAUAGGGAUAGUUGGGGCAUUAGUAUUCAAUUUGUC